rnacentral:rRNA from 1 species
GUGGGUAACCUACCCUGUACACACGGAUAACAUACCGAAAGGUAUGCUAAUACGGGAUAAUAUAUUUGAGAGGCAUCUCUUAAAUAUCAAAGGUGAGCUAGUACAGGAUGGACCCGCGUCUGAUUAGCUAGUUGGUAAGGUAACGGCUUACCAAGGCGACGAUCAGUAGCCGACCUGAGAGGGUGAUCGGCCACAUUGGAACUGAGACACGGUCCAAACUCCUACG